UGGAAAGGCGCGCGAUACAGGGUGACAGCCCCGUACACAAAAGCGCAUAUGCUGUGAGCUCGAUGAGUAGGGCGGGACACGUGGUAUCCUGUCUGAAUAUGGGGGGACCAUCCUCCAAGGCUAAAUACUCCUGACUGACCGAUAGUGAACCAGUACCGUGAGGGAAAGGCGAAAAGAACCCCGGCGAGGGGAGUGAAAAAGAACCUGAAACCGUGUACGUACAAGCAGUGGGAGCACCCUUUGGGGUGUGACUGCGUACCUUUUGUAUAAUGGGUCAGCGACUUAUAUUCUGUAGCAAGGUUAACCGAAUAGGGGAGCCGGAGGGAAACCGAGUCUUAACCGGGCGUUAAGUUGCAGGGUAUAGACCCGAAACCCGGUGAUCUAGCCAUGGGCAGGUUGAAGGUUGGGUAACACUAACUGGAGGACCGAACCGACUAAUGUUGAAAAAUUAGCGGAUGACCUGUGGCUGGGGGUGAAAGGCCAAUCAAACCGGGAGAUAGCUGGUUCUCCCCGAAAGCUAUUUAGGUAGCGCCUCGUGAAUUCAUCUCCGGGGGUAGAGCACUGUUUCGGCUAGGGGGCCAUCCCGGCUUACCAACCCGAUGCAAACUGCGAAUACCGGAGAAUGUUAUCACGGGAGACACACGGCGGGUGCUAACGUCCGUCGUGAAGAGGGAAACAACCCAGACCGCCAGCUAAGGUCCCAAAGUCAUGGUUAAGUGGGAAACGAUGUGGGAAGGCCCAGACAGCCAGGAUGUUGGCUUAGAAGCAGCCAUCAUUUAAAGAAAGCGUAAUAGCUCACUGGUCGAGUCGGCCUGCGCGGAAGAUGUAACGGGGCUAAACCAUGCACCGAAGCUGCGGCAGCGACACUAUGUGUUGUUGGGUAGGGGAGCGUUC
rnacentral:rRNA from 1 species